rnacentral:tRNA from 1 species
GCUCACUUGGCCAAGUGGUAAGGCGUCGCACUUGUAAUGCGAAGAUCGCUCGUUCGAUUCGGGUAGUGAGCA